rnacentral:rRNA from 1 species
AGCUCCAAUAGCGUAUAUUAAAGUUGUUGCAGUUAAAAAGCUCGUAGUUGGAUCUCAGGGUGAGCUCAGUUGGUCGGCCUAAUUGGUCAGAACUGGCUGUCUCUCCCUUGUUUCUGAAUCCGUUCCAUAGUUAACUCUGUGGUUCUGGACUUCAGAUCGUUUACCUUGAAAAAAUUAGAGUGUUCAAAGCGGGCGUUUGCUUGAAUACAUUAGCAUGGAAUAAUGGAAUAGGACCCUGGUUCUAUUUUGUUGGUUUUGAGGACCAGAGUAAUGAUUAAUAGGGAUAGUUGGGGGCAUUCAUAUUUAAUUGUCAGAGGUGAAAUUCUUGGAUUUAUGAAAGAUGAACUUCUGCGAAAGCAUUUGCCAAGGAUGUUUUCA